rnacentral:rRNA from 1 species
UGGGGAAUAUUGGACAAUGGGCGAAAGCCUGAUCCAGCCAUGCCGCGUGUGUGAAGAAGGUCUUCGGAUUGUAACGCACUUUAAGUUGGGAGGAAGGGCAUUAACCUAAUACGUUAGUGUUUUGACGUUACCGACAGAAUAAGCACCGGCUAACUCUGUGCUAGCAGCCGCGGUAAUACAGAGGGUGCAAGCGUUAAUCGGAAUUACUGGGCGUAAAGCGCGCGUAGGUGGUUUGUUAAGUUGGAUGUGAAAUCCCCGGGCUCAACCUGGGAACUGCAUUCAAAACUGACUGACUAGAGUAUGGUAGAGGGUGGUGGAAUUUCCUGUGUAGCGGUGAAAUGCGUAGAUAUAGGAAGGAACACCAGUGGCGAAGGCGACCACCUGGACUAAUACUGACACUGAGGUGCGAAAGCGUGGGGAGCAAACA